rnacentral:lncRNA from 1 species
AGAGUCAGGGAGAUGGCGCAGAGACAAUGCUGCUGUCCAUUGAAGCCCUCCAAAGGUCGGAGAUUCGAUCACAGGACAGCCUGGCCUGGACCAAGUCAGGUUGAUAUGGCUAGGCGGCCUGCUGGCGAGAUAGUGGGAGUGGGCGGUCCGCCCCUCAGGACCUCUGACUUGGACAGAUGACUGGAUGACUCUCUGGGGCAGCAUUCACCGGAACUCAUAUGGAGGGGACUGCCUGAGAAACCAACCUGUGUGCCUGGGUCAGGUUGAUAUGGCUAGGCGGCCUGCUGGCGAGAUAGUGGGAGUGGGCGGCCCGCCCCUCAGGACCUCUGACCUGGACAGAUGACUGGAUGACUCUCUGGGGCAGCAUUCACCGGAACUCAUAUGGAGAGGACUGCCUGAGAAACCAACCUGUGUGCCUGGGUCAGGUUGAUAUGGCUAGGCGGCCUGCUGGCGAGAUAGUGGGAGUGGGCGGUCCGCCCCUCAGGACCUCUGAUUUGGACAGAUGACUGGAUGACUCUCUGGGGCAGCAUUCACCGGAACUCAUAUGGAGGGGACUGCCUGAGAAACCAACCUGUGUGCCUGGGUCAGGUUGAUAUGGCUAGGCGGCCUGCUGGCGAGAUAGUGGGAGUGGGCGGUCCGCCCCUCAGGACCUCUGACUUGGACAGAUGACUGGAUGACUCUCUGGGGCAGCAUUCACCGGAACUCAUAUGGAGGGGGCUGCCUGAGAAACCAACCUGUGUGCCUGGCCCACCACCUACCAGAGGUAUUGGAAAAGAACGGAUACGGAGGAAGUGGACCCAUUUAGAGGUGAUUAUUUGGAGCAAAUCCCAUCUGCUUUGUCAGUUAUUGAGCAGUUCCGUUCAUAGGCUGGCAAUGGCAGCUUGAUCCACUCUCAAAGUCUUCAUGGAUACACCAGCAGUCCGUUCAGUAAAGUCCAGAUAGCAGCAGUUGCACGACCUAGCAGGAACAACCAGGCCUCAGCUGAAGACAGUAGUCUACAGGAGGCAUUGGACUAGCAUGAAUGUCAGGAGAAACUUACAGCUGUGCCUCUCUUAAGGAAGUGAAGAUCAGUGAAGACAGGAGACCAAAAGGCGUUUAGCUGUGCAAGCAAGCCAAGCCCUUCUCCCAGUCCCUCCAAACAUCACUAGUCCUCCACAGGACUUGUCUCACCAUGUGUUGCCUCAGCAAAACUCACCUUUACAAACACAGCUUUGAAGGCCAGUUUUUUGAGUUAAUAAUGUAAACAAAUGUUAUUCUACGACAAACGUAGAAUUCAAGAGAAAAAUGGAGUAAUGAGUAAACCAGACAUUAAAAAAGAUUCUAUAAAUGAUCGAAUUACCUUUAGGCUACUGCAGCUUAGGUAUAAUGUAAGGGGAGUAAUAAUCUACAAAUAAGCAAAUGAGCCAAGAUGACCAAGAUGGAAAUGGUUUGAUUAGGAAUUUGAUUAGGGAAGUUCUGCCAAGGCAGGGAUAGUUGGGGUGGACACCUUUAGUCCCAGCACUGGGGCUUUAUGCAUGCUAAGGACGAGCUCUAUUGCUGGGCCCCACGCUCUAGAGUCAAUGCUCUAAAAUACUGCACAAACUAAUUCUCAGACAUUAACUGCAGGAAGAAUGCUCUAAUCCUAGAUGAGUGUUUUCAAAACAAAACUUAGCAGCGAAGACCAAAAAA